UACAAGAAAUAAAUUGCAUGAGAGUAUCCCUUAAAUAUGUAUAUGAGUGCAUAUAUAUAUAUAUAUAUAUAUUUCCAUAUAUGGGAGUUUCAUAUAUAAUAAAUCAACACAAACCCAUGGGAAAUGGGUGAAUUAUUUAGUAGCAGCAGGCAAAUGACUUAUCAAACCUAGCAGCUCCGAAGUUUCCCUUAGAAUGCGCUGCUACUCUUGCAGGCAAAUCAUUUUAUUUGAUCAAGUAGGUCUUGGGGAGGAAAUGAUCUCAAUCUUUCCUCAAACUUUAAAUGAGUAGGAAGCCCAGCUUGCUGGUAUGGAGUUGGACGUGGAAUGAGGGUGCCCAGUGGGCUGCUUUUGGUCAGCAGAAGUGGCACUGCCGGAUGCAUGGAGUAUCAGUGAAGGUGCCUGCUGCGGAUGCUCAUUAGACCUCAAGAACGGUGUUGGUUGUUACAGACAGCAAGACAGUGGCCAUUAAAGUCAGAAUCUGCUAAGGGGUGUGUAACAACUGACCUGUGGAUGCAACUAACCCAGAAAAUGAAUGGCACUGCUCAUGUUUGGCUUUCUUAGGCAGUGGACACACUAGAGACACUGGCAGAAAAACGAUCUCAGCAGCUUGGAUCCCCUCACGCUUGCUGGGCUGUGACAAGCAAGGCAGCUGCGGUAAAACUUGAAGCCUAGGUAUGGGCCUGGGUGGAGCAGUAGAUGCAGUUCUUAGUUGUCCUCGUAGCAGAUUUCAAAUAAGUGCUUUGAAAGCCAAAGUGUGGAAGGGUCCAUGUGAUCAGCAGUUGAACAGGAUCAGUUAGUCCUGAAAGAUAGGUGAGCUCCAUUCCAAAGACACAGGUGAUGACCUUCGAGGCCCUCAUUUGGACAAGCCUGUGAUAGCCAUUUCUUUCUUUACUUUUUUCUUUGGAGAUGGAGUCUUGCUCUCUUGCCCAGGCUGGAGUGCAGUGGUAUGAUCUUGGCUCACUCCAACCUCCGCUUCCUGGGUUCAAGCGAUUCUCUUGCC
rfam:Callithrix jacchus chromosome 15, whole genome shotgun sequence